CUUCGUCUCAAGGCUUUGUCAUUCAUCUUUCACGGUGUGUACUCUCAAUCUCCGGCUAGAACGAUCCCUACUUAUUCUGUACUGACAACUACAUUUUGCAGGUUAAAUUGCGCGCUUAUUUUUAGCGUAUCAAAGACCACUAUUGGUCUGAAUGACACUCCACUCUUAUCUCUCUUUUUGGGUUCUCAUAAUAUAGUUUUCAACUAUUAUCUGAAUUGUGGUGGUUGUUAGUGUUGCACUUUACAAUCUGUGCAUAUCCAAAUGGGUAGGUCAAGAUAGUCAAGUGAUAAUAACUAUCAUAGUUUUUGAACUUUUAACCUAGCAAAAAAAAAAGUAUAUUUUCUAAUUGUUGGAAAUCCAUAAUAUUAUAAGAAAAUUUUGGUUUUGUUAAAGGAAAAACACAUUAUGUGUCAUCGUCAAAGUAACUGACGAAGAGGGAAUUAAGGAACUGCAAUUACAGCUCAAUCAGCAUUUACUAUCAUUAUUGUAAUUGAUAUUUCCGUUAUAAUUCUAUUCCUAUAUACAGGGACUAUGAAGUAAAA